GAUGAACGCUAGCGAUAGGCUUAACACAUGCAAGUCGAGGGGCAGCAUGGUCUUAGCUUGCUAAGACUGAUGGCGACCGGCGCACGGGUGCGUAACGCGUAUGCAACUUGCCUCACAGAGGGUUAUAACCCGUCGAAAGACGGACUACUACCGCGUACACUCUAUUUUGGGCAUCCAAGGUAGAGGCAAUGAACUUCGCUGUGAGAUAGGCAUGCGUCCCAUUAGCUAGUUGGUGAGGUAACGGCUCACCAAGGCGACGAUGGGUAGGGGAACGGAGAGGUGGAACCCCAACACCGGUACUGAGACACGGACCAGACUCCUACGGCAGGCAGCAGUGAGGAAUAUUAGUCAAUGGGCGAGAGCGUGAAACAGCCAAGUCGGGUGAAGGAGGACUGUGUUAUGGAUUGUAAACUUCUUUUGUAGGAGAAUAAAGAGGGGAACGGGUGCCCCAGUGAAUGUACCUGACGAAUAAGCAUCGGCUAACUCCGUG
rnacentral:rRNA from 1 species